rnacentral:rRNA from 1 species
AGAGUUUGAUCCUGGCUCAGGAUGAACGCUAGCGACAGGCCUAACACAUGCAAGUCGAGGGGCAUCGGGGCGAGGAGCAAUCCUUGCCGCCGGCGACCGGCGCACGGGUGAGUAACGCGUAUGCGACCUGCCCGUUGCAGGGGGAUAAUCGGGAGAAAUCCCGUCUAAUACCGCGUAAUGCCGCGGGGCUGCAUGGCCCUGCGGCCAAAGGGAGCGAUUCCGGCAACGGAUGGGCAUGCGUGACAUUAGCUAGUUGGCGGGGCAACGGCCCACCAAGGCGACGAUGUCUAGGGGUUCUGAGAGGAAGGUCCCCCACACUGGUACUGAGACACGGACCAGACUCCUACGGGAGGCAGCAGUGAGGAAUAUUGGUCAAUGGGCGCGAGCCUGAACCAGCCAAGUCGCGUGAGGGAUGACGGCCCUACGGGUUGUAAGCCUCUUUUGUCGGGGAGCAAAUUCCGUUACGUGUAACGGAGUCGAGAGUACCCGAAGAAAAAGCAUCGGCUAACUCCGUGCCAGCAGCCGCGGUAAUACGGAGGAUGCGAGCGUUAUCCGGAUUUAUUGGGUUUAAAGGGUGCGUAGGCGGACUGUCAAGUCAGCGGUAAAAUACGGGGGCUCAACCUCCGCCCGCCGUUGAAACUGACGGUCUUGAGUGGGCGAGAAGUAUGCGGAAUGCGUGGUGUAGCGGUGAAAUGCAUAGAUAUCACGCAGAACUCCGAUUGCGAAGGCAGUAUACCGGCGCCCAACUGACGCUGAAGCACGAAAGCGUGGGUAUCGAACAGGAUUAGAUACCCUGGUAGUCCACGCAGUAAACGAUGAAUACUAGCUGUCCGGGGCGAAUGAGCCCUGGGUGGCACAGCGAAAGCGUUAAGUAUUCCACCUGGGGAGUACGCCGGCAACGGUGAAACUCAAAGGAAUUGACGGGGGCCCGCACAAGCGGAGGAACAUGUGGUUUAAUUCGAUGAUACGCGAGGAACCUUACCCGGGCUCAAACGACACAGGAACGUACCUGAAAGGGUUCGGCUCUACGGAGCCUGUGUCGAGGUGCUGCAUGGUUGUCGUCAGCUCGUGCCGUGAGGUGUCGGCUUAAGUGCCAUAACGAGCGCAACCCCCAUCGACAGUUGCUAACAGGUCAGGCUGAGGACUCUGUCGAGACUGCCGGCGCAAGCUGCGAGGAAGGCGGGGAUGACGUCAAAUCAGCACGGCCCUUACGUCCGGGGCGACACACGUGUUACAAUGGCAGGUACAGCGGGAAGCCACCUGGCGACAGGGAGCGGAACCCGAAAGCCUGUCUCAGUUCGGAUUGGAGUCUGCAACCCGACUCCAUGAAGCUGGAUUCGCUAGUAAUCGCGCAUCAGCCACGGCGCGGUGAAUACGUUCCCGGGCCUUGUACACACCGCCCGUCAA